rnacentral:rRNA from 1 species
UACGGAGGGGGCUAGCGUUGUUCGGAAUCAUUGGGCGUAAAGGGCGCGUAGGCGGCCGGCCAAGUCGGUUGUGAAAUCCCUCGGCUCAACCGAGGAACUGCACUCGAUACUGGUUGGCUAGAGUCCGGGAGGGGAUGGUGGAAUUCCCAGUGUAGCGGUGGAAUGCGCAGAUAUCUGGAGGAACAUCGGUGGCGAAGGCGGCAUCCUGGACCGGUAUUGACGCUGAGGCGCGAAAGCCAGGGGAGCAAACGGG